UCAUUUUUCUGCUCGCAUAACCCUCAAAUAUCCUUGGAAAGUGUUUCAGUGUCAGUGAGGUUGUGAGAAAAUUUAUGUCUCGUAUCUGUAGAUAUUACAGAAAUGGUUCGUUGCGAGUAUUGUAGAAAAACAUCCACUGAAUGGAAAGAAUUGUCUUUCCAUAACUUUCACAACAUCAUUCGAGCAAAUAUCAGAAGAAUUAAAUAUUUUUGGAGCAAUGAGCAUCAGCUGCUGAUUUUGUGUAAAUUUGUGAAUGUAAAUUUUAUUCAGAACUGUGAGGGAAUAAUUUGUACUUAAAAGGACUUUGCUAGUAAUGAGGUGAAUAAAAUAAAUCAAUUAAAUAAAUUAA